AUAACGACCCUGACUAACCUGUUAAUGGAUGGUCCAAUUUGAUUUUCCCCUUCUUCACGAAGGCCAGAUCUGAAGCUGCCUGCCACACAACAAAGCUUUUCUAGGUUCCCAGGUUCCUGGAAUUCAAGACUAAAUGAGGCUUCUUGCAAAGGCUCUGCGUGAAAGAAGCAAAUUAGGAAUUUGAAGGGAUGAUGAUGCCGUUGUAGGAUACUCUCGUUUCCUGGUGUCCCUCUUGAGGUUGUCGAGAAACAGCAGCGGUACCCAACAGAGUUACCUGAAAAGAUGGAGAACUCGGUAUCUUGAUUGUCCAACACUGUAGCCACUGUAGAUUUGGCCAUGGACUGCUGAAUGUCUGGCCACUGUGACUGAAGAAGUGAAGUUUUAAUUGUAUUGAAGUUUUUAUGAAUUUAAAGACCCCAUAAUCGUUGUCAAGAAGAAAAAAUUCAAAAGGCAUUAAUUUACAUAACGGAGGAUGGCAGGAUCUUGCUCUAUGACAACUGUUUGUUUGUUUGUUUUAGUGAAGAGAAAAAGAUGUUACGCCAGUAUGUUUAGCAAGAAUGCUCAAGAAUGGAGUGAAGCACAACCAAGAAUUUAGUGUCUCCAUCAUAAAAGGUCUUUGGAAGACCCGUUCCAGUGCCAUGAAAGGAGUGUUUGGUUGGGAAUCUGGAGAAGUGGAGGCUCCUUUGCCGGCGGGCCGAUAACUGCCCACGUGAUUUCCUGCCUGCCUGCCUUUCUCUUCCCAGGAAAGCAGCACGUUUGGCUUCUACAACAUUAUGAUGCAAAUAAUCCUAUUUUAUAGCUUUUUGUUUAAGUGCACAGGCAGGCUUUGACAAGUGGCUGUGAAAGGGAGAGGUCCCUUGUGUUCUGGGGACUAUGCAGUUGUGCUCUCUCUGCCCCCUCCCCCAUCUACCUGGGUACCCUCCUUCGAGGCCCCUCCUCAUUGUUUUUUUUUUUUUUUUUUUUUUUUUUUCCCUGCGUGGGACGAGGCACAUGGAGAAAGCAGUUGUUGACUUUUGUCUCCUUGGCAUUUUUCUUGAACCAAUUAAAUGAAUGAUGUAGCAAGUGCAAUUGCCGGAGAGUUUAAACCCCGUAAUGGCCCCAGUGGGUUACACAUGGCUGAUCCUUGACCCUAUAAAAAAGGCCACCAUAAAAAUCCGCCAGGCAAUCCGGAAGCUGCUGAAAUUCAUUGCUCAAUGAGUCAUCUGCUCUUGUCAACUGGCAUGAGUUAAAGACAUGAGGAAACAGGUUAUUUUUGUGGUAACUAAAGUUCAGCAGAUGAACAAAAAGUUGCCGUUCAGUUCUCGAGAGGAACAAUUAUGCCGUUUCAAAGCCAACAACCCGUGCAUCCUCUGGGAAUGUCUAUCAUUCAAAUGUCUUUCCAGUCCUUCCAAGAACACAAGGAUGGGCAGCCUUUGCCGUUUCUGUGCAGCUAGAAAUAGAGGGUGUAGGAAGAGACUCCGAGGAAAGACUUGUUUCAAAUUUUCUUUCCUUUUUUUCUGGGUAUUCAUUUCUUCAUUUGUAAAACAAAGCAGUUUUUUUGUUUUUUGUUUUUUUAUGAUCCUUCAAGGUCAGAUCACUUCUGUUCUCUAUGUUUGUGACCUGUGAACCUAGAGGCCCCAAUGUAGUAAAAUCUCACUCAGUGUUUUGCUAAGGAUUGGGUGAAAGGGCAGCUGCUUGUAAUCUACUUUAAUCAACAAGUACAAUAAAAAUACAAUAGCACUAAGCCACCUAACAAUGAGAUGCUUGAAGCAGGCUUUUUGAUAUAUCUUUCUUUUCAUACGCAUAUAAGCUCUUCAAAACCAGCAAUUUGGUGGCCUUCUAUUAGAUCAUUGCUAAUAUUUUCAAUACCUUACAUAGGAAAAAGUAUUGAUUUAUUAUUAUUAUUUUUUGGAAAUAAACCUUACAUAAAAGCUUUCCAUAACCUCGUAAUACAAAGUCUACAGACAUAAAAGUAGUCUAACAAAAUUCCCUUUCUUUUCAAAAUGUCCCUGUUCUUCUAAGAAUAAAGUAUUUUCUGGGUGGAGGAAUGACCAUCUAUAAUUAAGGAACAUCAUCAUCACCACAAUCAACAGCAUCAUCAUCAACCUCCUCAUCAUCACCAACAGCAAAACAAAACAAAAAAAGUCGUCUGAACCUUUCUGAUUCUGGAAACCUCUUUACGUUUUCUUUAAAGGCAUUGGAAAUUCCGAGGCGUCACUAAAUCUAUCCUACAGUAGUGUGAGAGUUAUUUGCAACCUAGCUCCUGGCAAAUGG